GCCGAUGUAGCUCAGUUGGUUAGAGCGGUUGUUUCGUAAACAACAGGUCGGCGGUUCAACUCCGCCCAUCGGCU
rnacentral:tRNA from 2 species